GUACGCCAGUGCAUGCAGAUACACAUACACUUAAAGGACCACUACAGACCCCAAGAUCACAUCAGCUCAAUGAAGUGGUCUGGGUGCCAGGUCCCUCUAGUUUUAACCCUGCAGCUGAAAACAUAGCAGUUUCAGAGAAACUGCUAUGUUUCACUGAGGGUUAAUCCAGCCUCUAGUGGCUGUCUCAUUGACAGCCGCUAGAAGAGCUUCUGCGACUCUCGCUGUGAAAAUCACAGUGAGAAGACGCUGAACGUCCAUAGGAAAGCAUUGAGUAAUGCUUUCCUAUGGACGGUUUGAAUGCACGCGCAGCUCUUGCCACGCAUGUGCAUUAGGAGCUGAGGGGCGGAGAGAUCCCUAGCGCCAAGGGAGUCCAGCGCUGGAGAAAGGUAAGUGCUUAAGACACACAUACACACACUCUCAUGAACAGGUGCAUACACACUAGCUAACAGACACACACAGUUACUGACAGACACA